GACGAACGCUGGCGGCGUGCUUAACACAUGCAAGUCGAACGGAAACGCCCUGCUUUUGUGGGGUGCUCGAGUGGCGAACGGGUAAGUAACACGUGAGUAACCUGCCCUUGACUUUGGUAUAACUUAAGGAAACUGGGGCUAAUCCCGGAUCGGAGCUCCUGCUGCAUUGUGGGGGUUGGAAAGUUUCGGCGGGUGGGGAUGGACUGGCGGAUGAUCAGCUAGUUGGUGGGGUAGUGGCUUACCGAGGCAGUGACGGGUAGCCGGCAUGUGAGGGUGGCCGGCCACAUUGGGACUGAGAUACGGCCCAGACUCCUACGGGAGGCAGCAGUGGGGAAUAUUGUACAAUGGUCGGAAGCCUGAUGAAGAGACGCCGCGUGCGGGAUGACGGCCUUCGGGGUGUGAACCGCUUCCGCCUGUUACGAAGCGUGAGUGACGGUAAUGGGUAAAGAAGCACCGGCUAACUACGUG
rnacentral:rRNA from 1 species